rnacentral:rRNA from 1 species
CCUACGGGUGGCAGCAGUGGGGAAUAUUGCACAAUGGGGGAAACCCUGAUGCAGCGACGCCGCGUGAGUGAAGAAGUAUUUCGGUAUGUAAAGCUCUAUCAGCAGGGAAGAAGAAAGACGGUACCUGACUAAGAAGCCCCUGCUAACUACGUGCCAGCACCCGCGGUAAUACGUAGGGGGCAAGAGUUAUCCGGAUUUACUGUGUGUAAAGGGAGCGUAGACGGCUGUGCAAGUCUGAAGUGAAAGCCCAAGGCUCAACCCUGGGACUGCUUUGGAAACUGUGGGGCUCGAGGGCAGGAGGGGCAAGUGGAAUUGCUAGGGUAGAGGUGAAAUGCGUAGAUAUUAGGAGGAACACCAGGGGCGAAGGCGGGUUACUGGACAGUAACUGACGCUGAGGCUCGAAAGCGUGGGGAGCAAACAGGAUUAGAUACCCGGGUAGUC